GUAGGUGGCAAGCGUUGUCCGGAAUUAUUGGGCGUAAAGCGCGCGCAGGCGGUUCUUUAAGUCUGAUGUGAAAGCCCACGGCUCAACCGUGGAGGGUAAUUGGAAACUGGAGAACUUGAGUACAGAAGAGGAAAGCGGAAUUCCACGUGUAGCGGUGAAAUGCGUAGAGAUGUGGAGGAACACCAGUGGCGAAGGCGGCUUUCUGGUCCGUAACUGACGCUGAGGCGCGAAAGCGUGGGGAGCAAACAGGGAUUAGAUACCCUGGUAGUCCACGCCGUAAACGAUGAGUGCUAAGUGUUAGGGGGGUUUCCGCCCCCUUAGUGCUGCAGCUAACGCAUUAAGCACUCCGCCUGGGGAUACGGCCGCAAGGCUG
rnacentral:rRNA from 1 species